AUGUGGAAUGUAGUGCCAUCAAGCAGAUGGAACUGGCCAACUUUAAGGGAAACUAUUCCUAAAGUUGGAGUACGAAACUCUCGUCUGGUGGCUCCAAUGCCCACUGCUUCCACUAUGGGGAGUCUGCAAGUGGUUAACAAGCAUCUUCUCCAUGAUUUGACUGAGAUGGGUAUCUGGACACCUGCUCUGAAAAAUAAGAUAAUUUAUGAAGAUGGUUCUGUUCAGAAGAUGGGAGAAAACCCUGAUGAUCUUAAAGCAAUUUACAAGUAUGUGAAAACUCUGGUUGACAUGGCUGUUGAUCGUGGAUGCUACAUCGAUCAGAGCCAGAGCCUUAAUGUCCACAUGGAUCAACCAAACUUUGCAGAGCUAACUUCGUUGCAUUUCCAUGCUUGGUCCAAGGUGUUGUUGGGUUUAAGAUCAGAGGAGUUCCUUUGGUGGGCAGCCCUUGAUGGCUGA
rnacentral:rRNA from 1 species